AAAGUGCCCUGGCGAGAGCCGGUGGACUACUCCUCUGGUCCCCUCUUUUUUGAGGGGGUUACCGGGUAACCAAUUGUGAAACUUCUACCUUUGCUUCGGCAGCACUCUCAGCGGGAGCAAUCUUGCUGGAGGGGUAAGGCUGCCAGAAGCCCAUAUCAUAACCAGUUGAUGAAAUGUCAUGCUGUCUGAUAACCAUUAUUUUGAGAAAUCAAAUUAUAUUA
rnacentral:misc_RNA from 1 species